GCGCACCAGUCGCGAAUCUUCCUCAAUGCCCGCAAGGGUGAAGGAGCGACGCCGCGUGCAGGAAGACGCCCCUCGGGGUGUAAACUGCUUUUAUCAGGGAAGAAUCCCGCGUCCGCGGGAUGACGGUACCUGAUGAAUAAGGACCUCCUAAUUUCGUGCCAGCAGGAGCGGUAAUACGAAAGGUCCAAGCGUUAUCCGGUUUUAUUGGGCGUAAAGCGUCCGCAGGCGUCUUGAUAAGUUUUCGUUAAAUACUUCGACCUAAUCGAAGCACGGCGAAAAAACUAUCAGGAUAGAGGGUGGGAGAGGCGAGUGGAAUGGCUGGUGUAGGAGUCAAAUCCGUUAAUAUCAGCUGGAACACCAAAGGCGAAGGCAGCUCGCUAGAACACUCCUGACGCUCAGGGGACGAAAGCGUGGGUAGCGAAGCGGAUUAGAUACCCGUGUAGU
rnacentral:rRNA from 1 species